UGAGACACGGACCAGACUCCUACGGGAGGCAGCAGUGAGGAAUAUUGGUCAAUGGACGCAAGUCUGAACCAGCCAUGCCGCGUGCAGGAAGACGGCUCUAUGAGUUGUAAACUGCUUUUGUACGAGGGUAAACUCACCUACGUGUAGGUGACUGAAAGUAUCGUACGAAUAAGGAUCGGCUAACUCCGUGCCAGCAGCCGCGGUAAUACGGAGGAUUCAAGCGUUAUCCGGAUUUAUUGGGUUUAAAGGGUGCGUAGGCGGUUUGAUAAGUUAGAGGUGAAAUCCCGGGGCUUAACUCCGGAACUGCCUCUAAUACUGUUAGACUAGAGAGUAGUUGCGGUAGGCGGAAUGUAUGGUGUAGCGGUGAAAUGCUUAGAGAUCAUACAGAACACCGAUUGCGAAGGCAGCUUACCAAACUAUAUCUGACGUUGAGGCACGAAAGCGUGGGGAGCAAACAGGAUUAGAUACCCUGGUAGUCCACGCAGUAAACGAUGAUAACUCGUUGUCGGCGAUACACAGUCGGUGACUAAGCGAAAGCGAUAAGUUAUCCACCUGGGGAGUACGUUCGCAAGAAUGAAACUCAAAGGAAUUGACGGGGGCCCGCACAAGCGGAGGAACAUGUGGUUUAAUUCGAUGAUACGCGAGGAACCUUACCCGGGCUUGAAAGUUACUGACGAUUCUGGAAACAGGAUUUCCCUUCGGGGCAGGAAACUAGGUGCUGCAUGGUUGUCGUCAGCUCGUGCCGUGAGGUGUCGGGUUAAGUCCCAUAACGAGCGCAACCCCUACCGUUAGUUGCCAUCAGGUCAAGCUGGGCACUCUGGCGGGACUGCCGGUGUAAGCCGAGAGGAAGGUGGGGAUGACGUCAAAUCAGCACGGCCCUUACGUCCGGGGCUACACACGUGUUACAAUGGGGGGUACAGAAGGCAGCUACACGGCGACGUGAUGCCAAUCCCAAAAACCUCUCUCAGUUCGGAUCGAAGUCUGCAACCCGACUUCGUGAAGCUGGAUUCGCUAGUAAUCGCGCAUCAGCCAUGGCGCGGUGAAUACGUUCCCGGGCCUUGUACACACCGCCCGUCAAGCCAUGGGAGCCGGGGGUACCUGAAGUGCGUAACCGCAAGGAGCGCCCUAGGGUAAAACUGGUGAUUGGGGCUAAGUCGUAACAAGGUAGCCGUACCGGAAGGUGCGGCUG
rnacentral:rRNA from 1 species